AAGUCGUAACAAGGUUUCCGUAGGUGAACCUGCGGAAGGAUCAUUACCGAGUUCUCGGGCUUCGGCCCGAAUCUCCCACCCUUUGUGAACAUACCUCUGUUGCUUUGGCGGCUCUUGCCGCGUGGAGGCCCUCAAAAGCCCCCCCGCGCGCUUCCGCCAGAGGACCUUCAAACUCCAGUCAGUAAACGUCGACGUCUGAAAAACAAGUUAAUAAACUAAAACUUUCAACAACGGAUCUCUUGGUUCUG
rnacentral:misc_RNA from 1 species